GACGAACCGUGCGAACGUUGUUCGGAAUCACUGGGCUUAAAGGGCGCGUAGGCGGGCGAUCAAGUCAGCGGUGAAAUCCUCCAGCUCAACUGGAGAACUGCCCCUGAUACUGGUCGCCUCGAGGGAGGUAGGGGCAUGCGGAACUGAUGGUGGAGCGGUGAAAUGUGUUGAUAUCAUCAGGAACUCCGGUGGCGAAAGCGGCGUGCUGGACCUCUUCUGACGCUGAGGCGCGAAAGCUAGGGGAGCAAACGGG
rnacentral:rRNA from 1 species